UCAGCAGCCAUCAUUAUUUUUAAACCUGUUUUGAAAACCUUACAAUGAUAUUACACCAUGGAGACACACGAGGGCGCGCCAGGCAUCUAUUUAAAAUGUGUUUUCAUAGCUUUUCUUGAAGGAUGUAAUUUUGAGUGUGUACAGGAAACGGGGGGCCGCAGGGGAGUCUUAAGGGUCCCCUGUGAGUGACAAGGGCAAGUCUUAUUUCCAGCUUGGUCCAGUCUGCCAGCCUUGUCAAUGAAAUACCAGGAUUCCCUUCCUGAAUGCUCCAUAGUGGAAUCAGGGUUACACACCAGGAGUGGGACUGCAGGAUCGUACGAGUGUGUGUUUAACAUCAUGGGAAACUGCCAUGCCGUUUUUCAGAGCGGCUGCACCAUUUCACAUUCCCACUAGUGACGUAGGAGCCUGAUAGCUGCUCUGCAUUCCCACAUCUGCUUUUUCUCAUCAUUGAAUUUCUACCAUCAAGCAUAGAACAUGGCACUGGGGCCGCCAGCCUGUACAUAUAGAUUUUGCAGCCUGGAUUUUCACUUGACAUCCUAUCAGAAGCUUUUCCCUAUGUCGGACUCAGUCCCUGAGCCAGCAUUCAGCAGGAAGGAGGAAGGAGUACUUUCUGCUUCUCUUUCACUAGUCAGGAUAAAGAGGGAUGGUGCCAGAGGAGGAUAAAGAGUUAAUUUCAUUCCAAUAAAAAUGGG
rnacentral:lncRNA from 13 species